CUCACCUAUCAGUCUACCCAUCAAAUUCAUAUCUUUCCAAUCUGAAUAGAAGGAUGUAUGAGGGACCAUGACGAAGGCCUUACUGAUGUCCAGGUAAAUGGCAUCAGUGGCUGUUCCCUUGUCCACUGACUGACACAGUUAUGUCAUCAUAGAAGGCCACUAGGUUGGUCAGACUGGGCUGUCCUUGGUGAAGCCACAAUGGUUGUUCCAUAUCAGCUCCUUCUCUUCCAUGUGCCUUAGUAUAGCGUCCAGGAGAGUAUGCUCCAGUGAUUUUCUCUGGCACAAAGUUGUGACCAGAAAAUUAGGUCAGGGCCUACCAAAUAUCAUCAGUAGGGAACAAGUGGAGAUAAAGAAAAAUAUCAUUUGGAAGUUUCUGGAUCAACAAGAAACAGCUUAUGAAGCAAUUCAAGCAGCCUCAUCAACAACUUUCUGUGAAACAGAUCCAUUAGCCUCAUAUGACCUCACCAUCUAUGACAAUAAGGAAAUAAAAAAUGAACAUUUACCUUGAA